rnacentral:rRNA from 2 species
UGGGGAAUAUUGCACAAUGGGCGCAAGCCUGAUGCAGCCAUGCCGCGUGUAUGAAGAAGGCCUUCGGGUUGUAAAGUACUUUCAGCGGGGAGGAAGGGAGUAAAGUUAAUACCUUUGCUCAUUGACGUUACCCGCAGAAGAAGCACCGGCUAACUCCGUGCCAGCAGCCGCGGUAAUACGGAGGGUGCAAGCGUUAAUCGGAAUUACUGGGCGUAAAGCGCACGCAGGCGGUUUGUUAAGUCAGAUGUGAAAUCCCCGGGCUCAACCUGGGAACUGCAUCUGAUACUGGCAAGCUUGAGUCUCGUAGAGGGGGGUAGAAUUCCAGGUGUAGCGGUGAAGUGCGUAGAGAUCUGGAGGAAUACCGGUGGCGAAGGCGGCCCCCUGGACGAAGACUGACGCUCAGGUGCGAAAGCGUGGGGAGCAAACAGG